UACGAAGGGGGCUAGCGUUGCUCGGAAUCACUGGGCGUAAAGGGUGCGUAGGCGGGUUUUUAAGUCAGGGGUGAAAUCCUGGAGCUCAACUCCAGAACUGCCUUUGAUACUGAAGAUCUUGAGUCCGGGAGAGGUAAGUGGAACUGCGAGUGUAGAGGUGAAAUUCGUAGAUAUUCGCAAGAACACCAGUGGCGAAGGCGGCUUACUGGUCCGGUACUGACGCUGAGGUGCGAAAGCGUGGGGAGCAAACAGG
rnacentral:rRNA from 1 species